rnacentral:rRNA from 1 species
UGGGGAAUAUUGGACAAUGGGGGCAACCCUGAUCCAGCUACGCCGCGUGAGUGAUGAAGGCCUUAGGGUUGUAAAACUCUGUCGUGAGUGAGGAAAUAAGACGUUAACUCACAAGAAAGCACCGGCUAACUCCGUGCCAGCAGCCGCGGUAAUACGGAGGGUGCAAGCGUUGCUCGGAAUUACUGGGCGUAAAGGGUGCGCAGGCGGAUUGUUAAGCAAGAUGUGAAAGCCCAAGGCUCAACCUUGGAACUGCAUCUUGAACUGGCAAUCUUGAGUCCGUGAGAGGGGGGUAGAAUUCCAGGUGUAGAGGUGAAAUUCGUUGAUAUCUGGAGGAAUACCGGUGGCGAAGGCGGCCCCCUGGCACGGUACUGACGCUGAGGCACGAAAGCGUGGGGAGCAAACAGG